GAAUUCGGUCCGUAUCGUGUGCCUAUCUUCUCCUCGCCACCUCGUGGCGCUGGGGGAACCCCAAAGUAUCUCCCGUGUUCCGUGCUGUCCUCUCACGUUGCCGUGUCGGUGGCAUUGCCCGCGGGCAGUUAUGCUCGUGCUCUCGGAUUCGGAGCCUUGUGCGGGUACACGGGGUCUUCGACCUCCGUUUUCCCGCCAAGCGUUCGUCGCUCGUUGCGGGCUACAGCCGCGCCUGCGUCUGACCGUACCGGCUCUGUCGGUCGGGCUUAUGCAGCGCCGGCGUCGGAAAAAAGGAAUGCUACCUGGUUGAUC
rnacentral:misc_RNA from 1 species